rfam:Ictidomys tridecemlineatus contig062182, whole genome shotgun sequence.
GGGGUUGUGGCUCAGAGGUAGAGCGCUCGCCUAGCACGUGUGAGGUCUGGGUUCGAUCUUCAGCACCA